rnacentral:ncRNA from 1 species
ACGGUGGUGGGGAACCGCCCCGACGAGACGCGCCGUACCGGGCAGCUGGACGCAAAGACGACGCACC